GUAUUUUCGAAUUAAGUUAAUUCGCGACACAUGUAUUCAGACAAACUACUUGAAGGUGAAGUUAAAAUAGAAUAAGAAAUCCUUCGAGAAGGACUUCGAAACGUUGCACACAAGGUGGAUAUGGAUUUUUUUAAAAAGUGCCAUACAACACUUGUUUGUGAAUGAUCCUUCCGCAGGUUCACCUACGGAAA
rnacentral:misc_RNA from 1 species